GAUGAAUGCUGGCGGCGUGCCUAACACAUGCAAGUCGAGCGGCAGCGCGGGGUGCUUGCACCCUGUCGGCUAGCGGCGAACGGCUGAGUAACGCGUAGGAAUUUGCCCCAAAGUGAGGAAUAACUGCCCGAAAGGGUAGCUAAUGCCGCAUAUGGUCUUCGGAUUAAAGGAUUUAUCCGCUUUGGGAGAAGCCUGCGUUGGAUUAGGUUGUUGGUAGGGUAAUGGCCUACCAAGCCGACGAUCCAUAGCUGGUCUGAGAGGAUGAUCAGCCAGACUGGAACUGAGACACGGUCCAGACUCCUACGGGAGGCAGCAGUGAGGAAUCUUCCACAAUGGGCGAAAGCCUGAUGGAGCAACGCCGCGUGAAGGAUGAAGGCCUUCGGGUUGUAAACUUCUUUUAUGAGUGAAGAAUAUGACGGUAACUCAUGAAUAAGCACCGGCUAACUACGUG
rnacentral:rRNA from 1 species